GGGGUUGUGGCUCAGAGGUAGAGCACUCACCUAGCACAGGUGAUACCCUGGGUUCGAAUCUCAGCACCA
rnacentral:tRNA from 1 species